CUAACUGAGCAUUGUUUUACUUAUUUUCUCCCUCUUUGGAUUUUCCUCUUAAAUGUUAUUUAUUUCUCUGUACUGAAGCACUUCUAUUAUCGAAUGCAAAGUUAGUUGAUGUAAAUGAUCUUAUUUUCCCCUUUGGGGGUGGACGGUGUACUACAAAAUUGCUCUAGAAUAUUGCUGGAAUAGUUGUUAUUGUUAUAUAAGAAGUGCAGAUUCAGCGACAUGCAGAUGUGGUGCUUCUGUGGUCUAACAUGUUUUGGAAUCUAAUUGUUUCUUCAUUGUGGUGUUCUUUAGGUGAGCAACAGUGUUUUAGCAGUCCAAUUAUGUAGUAGCCUAUACAAGUUCUAUAGAUCAGCAGAAGGUUAUGAAUUUAAUGCUUUGGCAUGUUACUGCUAAUAGGAAAUGCGAGAUUUACUUUUCCCAACUUCCUUUGCAUCUUCGCAUAUAACUGAAUAUGGAGUAUUUCUUCUUUCAACGUGCAUCAGUUAAAUUUGCAAGUUAAUCAAGUUUUCAAAUUUAUUCGCAAAAGAAAGUUUUCAAAUUGUGGCCAAACAGAGGAUAGGCUUGGGUACCUUUCAUUUCACUGGUGGACAUGAUGCACAUUCCAGUAGAGCAUAUCUACAAAUAAUUUUAGGCUAAUGUUUGUGUUUCCCGUUAAUUUCAGGCGCACACGUGAUGGUGCUCACAUGUGCGGUAUUGCAAUGGUCAGCGGCAACAUUCCAUGCCGCGUGCAGAUAAAAAAUCUCCAGCACCUAUCAGUUGGUUCCCUCGAGACCCAGAGAUUAAUUGAGAUGGAGUAUGAAGGAAGAGUUCAUGUUGAUCCCUAGAGCUAUGAAGUGUUCUCUUUUAUUUCCUGGUCAGAUUGUUGGAUGUCAGAUAAUAUAGCUACUGUAUUUCUUUGAUUAGGUAAAAUUCAUCGAUUGUUAUGCUUGUUUUCCUAUAAUGAAGUUGAUCAAACAUAUGCCUUUUGCUAACUUAUAUUUGGUACCAAAUUAAAAUUGUGCUUUACUUUCAGCGGUCGUAUUUGAGAAUAUUGCUGUGCUUUACUUUCAGUCAUUAUAGUUGUUGAUCUUCAAUAUGCUUUGUGGGUUCGCGCAUUUCCCCUUUUGUAGGUUGAAUAGUUGUACCCUAAAUAUUUAAUUCUCCUACUAUUUCAGGGUCAACUCUCUAGAGCAAUCAACAAUGUCCUACGUUCAUGUGUUUCUGCCUUUUUGUUCUCACUUUGGCUGGUCCGUAACAAAACUAAACUCCUAAUGAUGAGCACUUAAGGUAACCCUUGCCACCAUUGAAGAAUAAAAUAAUGAAGAUCGAUAGUGCUUUACAUGCUUUUGAUAUUGAACAUUAAUUAUUUUACUUUAUGCAUUUCCUAUAAAUUUCCUUAAUGAUCAAUGCUAAAUCUUUCUCUCUGAAGGCCUGCUUAUUAACACCUUUUAAGGAUCAACAAAUGAGCUCCUGAACUGGCUUUGUGUGGUACUGAACUUGUUCGUCUUCAGAUAAGGUGAUCUUUUUAUGAGUGGUAUAAGUAAGUAUUAUUCCUGCAUACUAACAUCAAGUCAUCAAGUCUAUAGAGGAGUUUUUUAAUGCUCGUUAGUAAGGACUAAUUUGUUGCCAAUUUGGUUUAGCACUAGAGGACAAAUUACAUUAUGUUCAUAUUAGAAAGUAUUUUCCUUGAGUAUAAUUUAAUAUUGUCCACCGUAAUUGUUCAUAUUAGAAACUGGCCUUAUCAUCACCUCUGUUUCACCUCUGUUUCACCGGAUACUCAGCUCCACAGUGCUAACCGCGAUAUGCUAGGGAGAUGAGGUUCACGCUGGAAUUUGCCUCUGAAAGCCAUGAAGAAGUCGGUCCAGUUUGGCUCAAGGCCGGUUUCUCUUCUGCUCAAGCAAAGGAUGUCGUGUUGGUCAUGGUUUUUUUAUGUUGGAUGUGGUCCUCUUGUUCGUUUUGGUUCACACGUUCUUCAGAUUGGUUUCCUUUUGGAUUGUGUGGGCUGUGGUUGUUCAUUUCCUCAAUUAGUUUUGCUUAUUCUCCUUGCAGCUAUGCACCGGCCAAUCCACCUCAAACGGCAGGUUUUGGCUUUUGCACAAGAAAUCAUCAAUUUCCUUGGCUAGACACAAAGGUACUUUUUCCUAAUAUAUACUUGAGUUUUGUGUUCUAGAUAUAGGUACAAUCGGGUCAGGUGAUACACUAUAAGAAUAUUGUGCCCUACUCCCUCCGUCCACGAGUAAGUGCUUUUUUUUGGAAGUUAAAUUUUUUUAAAGUUGACUAGAUUAUUACACAAAAAUAACAACAUAUGCGACAUCAAACUACUGUACUAUUGAACUACAUGUCAAGAUGAGCCUAGCCAUAUUAAAUUGGUGCCAUAAAUGCUACUACUUUUUUCUAGAAAGUUAGUCAAAGUUAAUAGAGUUUGAUUUAAGAUAUGUCCUAACAUACACUUAUUAGUAGACGAAAGGAUUACUAGCUAGAUUACCAUACCAUGUACAUAGGUGACAUUAUUGCAAUUUACGCUCAAAUGAAAGAAAUAAUUGAUCUGAAAUUAGAUUUCUGCAAGCAAGAUAGAACUGUUUUUGAUCAAUUGAUAGACUUUUAUAUUGUGGCCAUCGUCCUCAGCGUCAACAAUUAGUCCAACCAAAGAUGCAAGAUUCCAGGUAGGUGACAAGACCCAACUGCUUCAUACCUAAGCAGUUCAUCCUUAUUGUCUCUGUAUUUGCGCACAAAGUACAUUUGCUUCCCUUAAUUUUCCUCUAUUUAUUUUUAAAAGCGAUUUUGGAGCUAGGUUCAGACCAGCUAUACCUGUAACAAUGGGUGAGGUGUGGCAAUAAAAUUAUCGCACAUUGUGUACAUUCAUCUAACUACUUAUUUUCUUAUCACACACACUGAGUAUAUUUCCUAGCAGGGAACCAUUUACAUUACAUAGCCAGUUCCUAGGCAUAAAACCUACUAAUGUGAGUCUGCAACUGGCACUUAACCAUAUCAUGCUGAGAUCUUGGGCUAUUGAACUAGGAACCACUUCCUUCUCUCUGUACCUUGAUCAUUUCCUUGCAUUUUCUAAUAUAAGCUGCUAACAACUUUUCCCUUUCUUUUUUCUUGCUUUUUAAUUGUUUCCUCGACCUUUUACUUUAUUCUCACUGUACGAUGGUUCACAGCUGUGCUUCUCUUUUGAUGCCUUUUCAAUUCUACUAUUUCAAUCCAUCACAGUUAUUUUAAAUUAUCCUCUAUUUAGCUCGAAUUAUUUCCCAGUUUACUUCACAAAAGUCCUUUUUAGUUGUUUAUCUUGCUAUGUUUUUUUCAUGUAAUCUCCCAUGAUAAUUUCUUCCAUAUUGUUUACAUUUCUAUGAAUCGAUUUUGCUUUUAGUUAGAUCAUGCUAUUUAGUUCUUUGUUUUGCAUGCUCUAUUCCUUAACCCAACUCUAGAUCAGUAGUCUAUUCGGGUUAUAAAUUAGUACCCAAACCAGUGCUCAUCUGUAGAAUAUAUUUCCUUAUUUUGUCUACUUGUGUGUGCUACAUUUCUCUGUUUUACUGUAUGUCACUUUCCCUUCAAUGGAAUGUUAACAACUUAUGUGGAUGUUGCUAUUGACAAUCCCUUCUUGCUCGGUUAUUUUUGUACUUCUGGAACAAGUAAGCCCUAUGUGUUUCCUCACUCGCCGCUUAUCCAUAAUAGAUUUUCAUGAAACGUCAGUAUAACGGUUUUCAAAUAGUUUAUCAGUGCGAUAAUCAUACUCCUUUUUUUUGCAAUGUGUCACAGUCAGCCGUAAGUUCAGUUGUACUUGUGAUUAACUAAUGGUUUGCUCAUGUUUUCAUUUGGGGUAUACUUGUGCUGCAGGUGUUGAGAUGCAUAGGUCGGCAAGUCUGUUGGCGUUAAAGGGGUAGGAGGUGUUGUUUAAGUAUGAUGUUAAACAUGAGCAUGCUCUGAGGCUGAUUGGUUCAUACCAUCAAGGCAUAAACCCGAUGGCUAGACUCUCCAGCAAUCCCAUGAGAUGGACAUGUGAGCUGCAUUUGACCGUUGAUUGUUUAUCUUUGUCAAAAACCCAAACUGAUAACCCUAUAACAGUUAAUUCAUAUGGUCAGAGUUAACUUUUUGAUGCCUUGAAACUCAUGUAAUUACUUUAGUUUUGAAAGUGUGCAUGACAAGCAUGGCACUGUAUUAUAUGUACAGGUAGAAUGCUAAGAAUUAUGGUAGAAAAUUAGAUUUUAGUAGUUAAGUUAAAUUUCAUUGAAGUAUGCUAACAAGGCGGGCAGAAAAUUGUCUC